CCAGUCUGGCAGACGGGUUGAAGUUAACGUCGAUGAGCGAACGUCACCUUCUUGGUUCGGAUACAAUCACAUGCGCAAAUCUUGUGCUAAUUACCGGAUAAGCCCUUAUCGGGGAAAGAUUUAUCCGCCGAAAGAUCGGCCCUGCGUCUGAUUAGCUAGAUUGGUGUGGUAACUGGCGCUACCAAGGCGACGCAUCAGUAGCUGGUCUGAGAGGAUCGAUCAGCCACAUUGGGACUGAGACACGGCCCAAACUCCAUACGGGAGGCAGCAGUGGUGGAAUAUUGGACAAUGGGCGCAAGCCUGAUCCAUGCCAUGCCGCGUGAGUCGAUCGAAGGCCCUAGGGUUGUAAAGCCCUUUCGGCGGGGAAGAUAAUGACGGUACCCGCAGAAGAAGCCCCGGCUAACUUCGUGCCAGCAGCCGCGGUAAUACGAAGGGGGCUAGCGUUGCUCGGAAUCACUGGGCGUAAAGCGCACGUAGGCUGACUCUUAAGUCGGUGGUGAAAUCCUGGAGCUC
rnacentral:rRNA from 1 species